GAGAACCACCACCGUAAAACCUUCCCAGAACCCCAUCUUGGUCGUUGUCAUCAUCUUCAUUCAAAUCUCAGUAACUACCCAUGCUACCACCACCGAGUGGCUCUUAAUCGCUGGUAUUCAGUCAAUUUGGUUCAUGGAAACAACACAUGCAACAUCUCAAUGAUUUGAUAUCUCAAAUAGAAGAACUUUAAUUCAGUAAAUUAGGGUUUUUAGAUUUAAUUGAGGGUUAAAGAAAUUGAGGAUGAGUUAGUGAUGGGUAUUAUGAAUUGAUAGCAGAGAAGAAGAUUUAACAACUACUUCUCAAUUCUCCAUGAGGAAUCGAAGAAUUUAGGGUUCGUGAAUUCAGAUUGAAGAUGGAAACAUGAGCCUGAUGGUGAGUAACUAAAGGAAGAACAAAACUUCUGAAUUUGUAUUUGAGGAAAAAAUUAGAAUUAGGGUUAUUGUAUUGGUGAUCUUCAGUUUACGAAUCAAGGGUGUUGGUCAGUUAAUGUUUUGAAGUUAUUCUGGUGAUGAAUUGAAGAACAGGGGUUGGGUCUGUUCUUGAGGAUUUUGGAGUCGGGUAUUGUGUUUUAUUAGAACUCUUGUUCUUGUUUUAAAAUCAAAUUGAAUGUAAACCCAACUUUGUUUUCUGAGUGUUUUUUGUGAUGUUUUUGGGGUUAUAGGAAUGGGAAUGCAGUGGGAUCAAUGAUUAAAUAAAAUCUAUAUGAGUUCAAAUGUGGAUUUUGGAUAUUGUAUUGGAUGUCGGGUAGAAUGAGUGGUCAUGUAUUGUAUGUGUAACCUGUAAUAAUGGUGGUAAACAUGAGCCUAAGCAUCGGGUUUUCUUCAUGUACAUCCAUGGGGGUUUCUGCAGAUGGAGGUGGAAGAGAAGAGAUUUAGGUUACAUCGUGGCCAUAGAAUAAGUCAUGUUAGCAUAGCCGUUGGAUAUAAGUCCCCCUUCAGGGUAAAAGUGUAAAUUCACGGUUAUUUAUUCUAUAAUUGAAUUAAAUUCUGGUAAA